UACAGAGGUCCCGAGCGUUGUUCGGAUUCAUUGGGCGUAAAGGGUGCGCAGGCGGCUCCGCAUGUCGGGCGUGAAAUCCCUCGGCUCAACCAUGGAAGUGCACCCGAAACUGCGUAGCUAGAGUCCUGGAGAGGAAGGUGGAAUGCUUGGUGUAGAGGUGAAAUUCGUAGAUAUCAAGCGGAACACCGGUGGCGAAGGCGGCCUUCUGGACAGUGACGUGACGCUGAG
rnacentral:rRNA from 1 species